UACAGAGGGGGCAAGCGUUGUUCGGAAUUACUGGGCGUAAAGGGCGCGUAGGCGGCCGACUAAGUCAGACGUGAAAUCCCAUGGCUCAACCAUGGAACUGCGUCUGAUACUGGACGGCUUGAGUUCGGGAGAGGGAAGUGGAAUUCCAGGUGUAGCGGUGAAAUGCGUAGAUAUCAGGAGGAACACCAGUGGCGAAGGCGGCACUCUGGGCCGGAACUGACGCUGAGGAGCGAAAGCGUGGGGAGCGAACAGG
rnacentral:rRNA from 1 species